CCUACGGGGGGCUGCAGUGGGGAAUAUUGGGCAAUGGGCGCAAGCCUGACCCAGCAACGCCGCGUGAAGGAAGAAGGCUUUCGGGUUGUAAACUUCUUUUGUCAGGGAAGAGUAGAAGACGGUACCUGCCGAAUAAGCCACGGCUAACUACGUGCCAGCAGCCGCGGUAAUACGUAGGUGGCAAGCGUUGUCCGGAUUUACUGUGUGUAAAGGGCGUGUAGCCGGGUUGACAAGUCAGAUGUGAAAUCCUGCGGCUUAACCGCAGAACUGCAUGUGAAACUGUUGAUCUUGAGUACUGGAGAGGCAGACGGAAUUCCUAGUGUAGCGGGGAAAUGCGUAGAUAUUAGGAGGAACACCAGUGGCGAAGGCGGUCUGCUGGACAGCAACUGACGGUGAGGCGCGAAAGCGUGGGGAGCAAACAGGAUUAGAUACCCGAGUAGUC
rnacentral:rRNA from 1 species